rnacentral:misc_RNA from 1 species
UAUGUGUUACCUUGAAAGCAUUAUACAGUAACUAACUCGAGCCACGAAGAGUAAGGCAGCACCGAAGCUGUUGUCAUGCAGUAGUGAUUUCUUUCUUGCUGUCCGUGACGGAGAUAAGUGGUAGGUGUUGUGUGGGUUAGUCGCGGAGCCUGGCCUGGCCACGGAACACCUGGCGCCGAGGGAGCCGUGUUUGCCUACAACGCUUGCCAUGGGUAAACCAGGGAAGAAGCGCACGGCCGAAGAAGAAGCUGCUAUCCGCGAGGCUCGGCGUGCAGCGGAUCGUGAGCGUUGUCGUCUACGACGAUUAGAUCCCGUUUACAUGGCCAGUGAAAGAAUCAAGAAGCGACAACGAUGGAAGGACCCGGAGUAUGCUAGGCGAAGGCGCGAGAAAGACGCGGAAUGGAAGCGAAAUCAGCGACAAUUGACCGGUCUAACGGAGUAUCAGCGAUGGAAGGCCCGCCUUGCUGCCGGCGUUCCACAUCCAAGGUUGCACCGCAACCAGUACACAUCAUGUGAGAAAACCGUGUCCAAAUCAACAGAGGCUAAUAUAGCCCCCAAGAUAGACCAUGUAUCGACGCAAACUGAUGGAAUGCAAGGUUUCUACAACGCCUGCCCACCAGCGGAAGUGCCACAGCCAAUCAAAGAGUGCCAACCUCAGCAGAAGCAGUUUCCAGAGAGAGAAGAGCCACCGUUGGUUGCCUUUUUAAAUAGAUCAGCGGCUGAAAUACAAGUGCUCCUUCAAUCAAACGAGACGCAGCAAAGUCAAGUGGAAGGGUCUUUAGGUUACAAAGCAGCAUCCUCUGUAUUGUAGAGGACCAAGAAUAGCGACUCCAGGACCUGUGAAAGUCGUGGAAGGUGCCAGUGCAUAUGCAAAAGAGGCUGCUGACAAAACCACAUGGUGUACAGGCAUCUAUCAGACCAACAUGUACUCUCCCACGGUCUCCUGUUGGAUGCAAUCCCACGAUCUCGAAGACAGCGACAAUGUUUCUUGAACGUCAGAACCGCUUUUCCAAAGUCAAUGCCUCUAGUCUUGGAAUAUCCAACGAGGACCAGCAGUCGAAUGGAGGAAUAUUGAAAUGGUGAUGGCAUCACAGAUGGUGAUGAUGAGUGCAGACUGACAGCAAGCUCACCUUUAAUGAAGAAGGAGAGAAAAAGGCCCUGCCACAGUCAAUCGAGAGCCCGCACUCUUCAUCGUCAGUGACAGCGCACUGUGCUCAUGGAGGUUUCAAGAUCUGGAGGCUUUGAACUUACGACAGUGCUGUGACCUUUCCAAUGCAACCUGUGCCUACGGAAUUAUUGUAUAUUGAAAUAGUCUUCUCGCGUCUUACAUUGACACAGCCCAAGGGAAUGUGCCGAUUCUGCGAGCACACGCUUGCUCUGCAGUGGUCAUUUUCAGCAAAUAAUUAGCAAAUAAAUGAGAGUCGAAAGCUCGCAUCUAUCGGU